AUGCUGGCUAGGGUAUUGGCCGUUACCAGCGUUGGUUUGUCGUGGGCAGUAGCGUGGAGCCUCUUGUCGCGACAGCUCAAGAAGCCCUUCUCCUGCACGCCCGCCAUCCUCAGGACCUUGGACGCCGCCGCCUCCGAUCCAGUCAUCGGCCGCGACGACGAGAUCGACCGCAUCAUCUGCAUCCUCUGCCGCUGCAUCAAGAACUGCGCCGCCCUCGUCGGCCCUGCCGGCGUCGGCAAGACGGCCAUCGUCGAGGGCCUCGCUCGGCGCAUCGCUGCUGGGACGGUCCCCGAAGCCCUCGCUGGGGCCCGCGUGGCCGAGCUAGACGUCGGGGCCAUGGUCGCGGGGACCCACUGGCGCGGCAUGUUUGAGCAACGCUUGAAGGAUGCCAUCAAGAAGGCUGAGGAUUCUGCCGGCAAGCUCAUCCUCUUCGUCGACGAGAUGCACAUGAUUGUUGGUGCCGGCGACCAUCGUGGCAGCACCGGCGACGCCGCCAACAUCCUCAAGCCCGCGUUGGCCCGUGGCCGCAUCUGUUGCAUAGGCGCCACCACAACCGAAGAGUACCGCAAAUACAUUCAGAAGGAUGCCGCGCUCGAGCGGUGCUUCCAAAGGGUUGACAUCGACGAGCCGACCCUGCAGGCAACCGUUGUCAUCCUGCAGGGGCUGAAGCAGCGGUACCAAGACUACCAUGGACUGAAAAUUCGCGAUCGGGUUGCUGCUGCGCACCUCGCCGGCCGUUAUAUUACAGGUCGCCAGUUUCCUGAUAAAGCAAUUGAUCUGAUGGACGAGGCAUGCACUUCCCUGAAGUUGCAUCAACCAAAACAAAUUAGAGAUAAGAAAACUAGCACUGUAAAUGCAGUGGAGGAGCUAACCGUUGGUCCAUGUCAUAUUGCACAAGUUGUGAGCCGAUGGACUAAAAUUCCGAUCACUACACUUGGCCGAGAGGAAGAAAAGUUUAGCCACCUAGUAGACAGGUUGCAUGAGAGAGUCGUUGGACAGCAUGAAGCUAUUAAUUUGGUUGCGCAAGAAGUGCUACGUUCGAGGGUCGGCUUUGAUCAAUCUAGCCAACCAAUCGGUUCUUUUCUAUUUUUGGGGCCGACUGGUGUUGGGAAGACAGAGCUUGCGAAAGCACUUGCCGAGAAGCUGUUUGACAAUGAGAAGGCAUUAGUCCGCUUUAGCAUGUCUGAAUAUGCCGACAGUGGUUCUGUGUCAUGUCUCAUUGGAGGACCUCGAAGGUUUAGCUUCUACACACUUUGGACUUGUAUUUCUUUCUGA
rnacentral:rRNA from 1 species